rnacentral:rRNA from 1 species
GAUGAACGCUGGCGGCGUGCCUAAUACAUGCAAGUCGAGCGAACAGACGAGGAGCUUGCUCCUCUGACGUUAGCGGCGGACGGGUGAGUAACACGUGGAUAACCUACCUAUAAGACUGGGAUAACUUCGGGAAACCGGAGCUAAUACCGGAUAAUAUAUUGAACCGCAUGGUUCAAUAGUGAAAGACGGUUUUGCUGUCACUUAUAGAUGGAUCCGCGCCGCAUUAGCUAGUUGGUAAGGUAACGGCUUACCAAGGCGACGAUGCUUAGACGACCUGAGAGCGUGAUCGGCCACACUGGAACUGAGACACGGUCCAGACUCCUACGGGAGGCAGCAGUAGGGAAUCUUCCGCAAUGGGCGAAAGCCUGACGGAGCAACGCCGCGUGAGUGAUGAAGGUCUUCGGAUCGUAAAACUCUGUUAUUAGUGAAGAACAAAUGUGUAAUUAACUAUGCACGUCUUGACGGUACCUAAUCAGAAAGCCACGGCUAACUACGUG